rnacentral:lncRNA from 1 species
GAAACAAAAAAAGAGGGAAAAAAUAGUCCCAGUAGAGCUCUCGCAAAUUUAGUAUUCAGCAUGCUGCAGUUUACCUGGAAGAGUUAUUCAAUGAGCAGCUCGUCUUCCGUGCAAGCACAAAUAUGGUGCUUAAGAAGUUCAUUGAUGAAGUGACUAUUGGUGUCAGUAUGAUUGACUAAAACUCUGGAAGGCAGUACUACAGCAUAUACCAAUGAUAGAAACCACUGAAAGUAUAACUUAUAAUAGAAUAAAUGCAUUCUGCUGUCGAUACCAUUGUUUUGGAAAUGUUUAAGUAUGUUUUCUAUGGUACAUAUUGUUUGCAUCCUUGUUUGUAUAAUACUGAUACAACUUUCAAUUUGUUAUAAAUUAGUUUUAAAAUCUUCAAGUGAAAAACUGCCAACAGAUCAGUUCCAAAAUUUUCAAGUAAAAUACCAUCAAAAGAGAAGUUUGUCAGUUAUAAAGUCGUCAUCAUCUGAGAAACAAACACCAUAUAGAACACUCCUUCAGCAUCCAAGAGUGAUUAAAGCAUGUGAAGGGUUUCGUGCAGCAAGAUCUCAAAAAUACAAAGGC